CGGCGGACGGGUGAGUAACGCGUGGGUAACCUGCCUCAUACAGGGGGAUAACAGUUAGAAAUGGCUGCUAAUACCGCAUAAGACCACGGUACUGCAUGGUACAGUGGUAAAAACUCCGGUGGUAUGAGAUGGCCCCGCGUCUGAUUAGGUAGUUGGUGAGGUAACGGCCCACCAAGCCGACGAUCAGUGGCCGACCUGAGAGGGUGACCGGCCACAUUGGGACUGAGACACGGCCCAG
rnacentral:rRNA from 1 species